AACGAACGCUGGCGGCAUGCCUAACACAUGCAAGUCGAACGCCCUGGGCAACCAGGGAGUGGCGGACGGGUGAGUAACGCGUGGGAACCUGCCUCGAAGUUCGGAAUAACCGCGGGAAACUGCGGCUAAUACCGGAUGUGGCCUGAGGGCCAAAGGGGAAACUCGCUUCGAGAGGGGUCCGCGUUCGAUUAGCUAGUUGGUGAGGUAACGGCUCACCAAGGCGACGAUCGAUAGCUGGUCUGAGAGGAUGAUCAGCCACACUGGGACUGAGACACGGCCCAGACUCCUACGGGAGGCAGCAGUGGGGAAUAUUGGACAAUGGGGGCAACCCUGAUCCAGCAAUGCCGCGUGAGUGAUGAAGGCCUUCGGGUUGUAAAGCUCUUUUGGCGGGGACGAUGAUGACGGUACCCGCAGAAUAAGCCCCGGCUAACUUCGUGCCAGCAGCCGCGGUAACAC
rnacentral:rRNA from 1 species